rnacentral:tRNA from 1 species
GAGGGUAUAGCUCAAGUGGUAGAGCACAUGCUUGGUAUGUAUGAGGUCCUGGGUUCAAUCCCUAUGCCUCCA